UGGGGAAUAUUGGACAAUGGGCGAAAGCCUGAUCCAGCCAUGCCGCGUGUGUGAAGAAGGUCUUCGGAUUGUAAAGCACUUUAAGUUGGGAGGAAGGGCAUUAACCUAAUACGUUAGUGUUUUGACGUUACCGACAGAAUAAGCACCGGCUAACUUCGUGCCAGCAGCCGCGGUAAUACGAAGGGUGCAAGCGUUAAUCGGAAUUACUGGGCGUAAAGCGCGCGUAGGUGGUUCGUUAAGUUGGAUGUGAAAGCCCCGGGCUCAACCUGGGAACUGCAUCCAAAACUGGCGAGCUAGAGUACGGUAGAGGGUGGUGGAAUUUCCUGUGUAGCGGUGAAAUGCGUAGAUAUAGGAAGGAACACCAGUGGCGAAGGCGACCACCUGGACUGAUACUGACACUGAGGUGCGAAAGCGUGGGGAGCAAACAGG
rnacentral:rRNA from 5 species